ACCUCUGCGCCCGCAGAGCGUGCGCGUCCUGGUGAUCAUCGCCGCUGGGUAGUGCCGGCCCUUUAUACCCACAGGACCUGGGUCAAAAAUGGAUGACAUGGCAUGGGUGACAUGAGGAAUGGCACAUGUGCGACAUUUAAGCUGACGAACGGCAGCCGGGGUGAAAUGGGAAUCAGUUAAGGGAGGGAGCACCCAGGAAGUCGGCGACUGCCAAACGUGAAAAUAGGAAGAACGAAACUUCAGACGAAAUGACCGCUCUGGAGCCCAGAAGCUUCAUCGCCGAGAAGUGGCUAGUGUUGGGUGUAUUUCACGCAUGUUAUACUCACAUAAAGUGUGAAGUGUUGCAGGAGUCUCAUGGACAUGACCGACCCAGGUUUUGUUUCUCACUUUAUGUAACGGAACGACAAAAACAAAGCGGUCUCGUUACCAAUUGCCUUUUUAUGACCUUUUGCAUCACUACCAGAAGCGCUUGGGUGCAUUUUGGUCUUCAUACGUGUGACAUUUCAGCACCAGGAGCAAUUCAUGAUACCGCGUGUGACGUGCAAUGACAAAAUUGCUGCCGUGUCCCAUAGAAGAUUAUGAUCCCGAGUUGUCUGCGACGAUAUGAUGUCGUGUUCCUGGUGUAAACGGACUGUGAUGACGUCAUCCAGUGACUGUUGAGCUGCCAACGUGACGCUAAGCAUGUCUUGUCAGCAGUAGCGCAAAAAACGCGGCCUCACAUAGACGGCAAAAUUUGCCGUUGUUCAGCCACCACUGCGUCGCCGUCCUUCGCAAACAGCACGGUGCAGAUGAAUGCGACUGCUUUUGUCGUUACCAAUGCUGUAGCCCUUUUCUUUCAUCGCAAGGUGCAGCAUUUUCUGCAACGGAACAUCACGAAUUGUGUGAUGCGUCUCACGUCUUCGGAGCCGCAAUGACAAUUUGACAUGAAUCAUGUGUUUUGGCAAGGGCCGUUUCGGGGACAGUAUUAGAGCAAUAUAUAACGAUGUGA